rnacentral:rRNA from 1 species
UGUCAUGCCAAUGGCACUGCCCGGUAGCUAAAUGCGGAAGAGAUAAGUGCUGAAAGCAUCUAAGCACGAAACUUGCCCCGAGAUGAGUUCUCCCUGACUCCUUGAGAGUCCUGAAGGAACGUUGAAGACGACGACGUUGAUAGGCCGGGUGUGUAAGCGCAGCGAUGCGUUGAGCUAACCGGUACUAAUGAACCGUGAGGCUUAACCUUACAACGCCGAAG